GUCACAAGGUCACAUUCUUCAUUCACGAUAGGGCUGGCCGGCCGGGGACCUCUGUGUGUGUGGACGGGUCACGUCUCGUGUACCACGCGGUGCUUGGCCUUGUUUGGAAUAUUUGAAACGGAAAUCCCGAGGUGGCGCGAGGCAAGCAAACAUCCCCCACUCGAACAAGGGAGGGGAUCAGACGAUCAGUAGAGAGCCGAGCAACGCCCACAAUCUCGCGAAUCCGCUUCACCCGGCAUGGCAGCGGCGGCGCUGUACAAGGACGCGGCGGCGCCGGUGGAGGCGCGGGUGCGCGACCUGCUGGGCCGCAUGACGCUGCGGGAGAAGGCGGCGCAGAUGGCCCAGAUCGAGCGCACCGUCGCGUCGCCCCGCGCCAUCGCCGAGCUCGGCGCCGGCAGCGUCCUCAACGGCGGCGGGAGCGCCCCGCUCCCCCGCGCCUCCGCCGCCGACUGGGCCCGCAUGGUCGACGGCAUGCAGCGCCACGCCCUCUCCUCCCGCCUCGCCGUCCCCAUCCUCUACGGCACCGACGCCGUCCACGGCCACAACAACGUCUACGGCGCCACCGUCUUCCCCCACAACGUCGGCCUCGGCGCCACCAGGGACGCGGAGCUCGCGCGUAAGAUCGGCGAGGCGACGGCGCUCGAGGUCCGAGCUACCGGCAUCCACUGGACCUUCGCGCCCUGCGUCGCCGUUUGUAGGGAUCCGAGGUGGGGGAGGUGCUACGAGUGCUACAGCGAGGACACAGAGGUCGUGCGCUCGUUGACCACCAUCGUCUCCGGCCUGCAGGGGCAGCCACCGGCUGACCACCCUCAUGGUUACCCGUUCCUCUCAUCCCCUAGGGUGAAUGUGCUUGCUUGCGCCAAGCAUUUCGUUGGGGAUGGUGGCACGGACAAGGGGAUCAAUGAGGGAAACACCAUUUGCUCACUUGAAGAUUUGGAAGGGAUCCAUAUCAGACCUUAUCCUGAUUGUAUAUCUCAAGGGGUGGCAACUGUCAUGGCGUCCUACACCCAAUGGAACGGGGAACCAUUGCACGCAAGCCGCUAUUUGCUGACAGAUGUUUUAAAGGGCAAGUUAGGCUUCAAGGGUUUUGUGGUGUCAGAUUGGGAGGGUAUUGACAGGCUCUGUGAGCCCAGAGGUUCUGAUUAUCGCUAUUGCAUCGCGCAGUCUGUUAAUGCAGGAAUGGAUAUGAUUUGAGAAGUUUUUGGAAGAUCUUGUGUUCUUGGUAGAGGCAGGGGAGAUACCAAUGUCACGGAUUGAUGAUGCUGUUGAGCGGAUUCUGAGGGUUAAGUUCAUAUCCGGAGUGUUCGAGCAUCCAUUUUCAGAUCCGUCUCUAGCAGAUAUAAUUGGUUGUAAGGAGCAUCGGUUGCUGGCACGUGAGGCUGUUCGGAAGUCUUUAGUACUUCUAAAAAAUGGCAAGAAUCAGAAGGAACCAUUCCUUCCAUUGGCCAAAAAUGUGAAAAGAAUACUUGUAGCUGGAACACAUUCUGACAAUAUUGGAUAUCAGUGUGGUGGGUGGACAAUAGCUUGGAAUGGAGACAGUGGAAGAAUUACUAUUGGUACAACCAUAUUGGAAGCUAUAAAAGAAUCCGUGGGAGCAGAAACUGAAGUUGUGUAUGAGGAAUGCCCAACAGAAGCCACAGUUGAAACUGGGGAAUUUUCCUAUGCAGUUGUUGUGGUUGGUGAGGUUCCAUACGCUGAAUGGUUGGGAGAUAGAACGGAUCUUAGUAUUCCAUUUAACGGCUCCGACCUUAUUUCUCGUAUUGCUAGUAAAGUCCCUACCCUAGUUGUGGUUAUAUCUGGAAGACCAUUGGUUGUUGAACCCCAAGUUCUGGACAAGGUAGAUGCUCUUGUUGCUGCCUGGCUACCUGGAAGUGAGGGUAUGGGAGUUACUGAUUGCCUCUUUGGGGAUCAUGAUUUUUUGGGUACAUUGCCCGUGACAUGGUUUAGGUCUACUGAUCAAUUGCCUAUAAAUGCUAGAGAUGCUAGUGAUGACCCAUUAUUCCCUUUUGGGUAUGGGUUGAAAAUGUUCCGAGGUGAUUAAGUUUUUAGCAUUAAUCAUUGUUGGUUCGGUUAUACAUUUGAAUGCUUAUAUGAAUCUUACACACGCUGUACCAGUUGGCUUUUUGAAUAAUGUAAAAGAGAAAUAAUGUCAUGUUUCAGUAUUGCAGGUGUGCUGUAAGGUGUAAAGCUUGAUUCUUAUAUUUUUCAUAGAGGUUUUAGUUACUCCUUUUCAUUACUUGUCUAUGUUACUAGUUGAAUUUCAGAUAUGUUUCAAUUU